GACGAACGCUGGCGGCGUGCUUAACACAUGCAAGUCGAACGGAAAGGCCCUGCUUGCCUUGUGCACGAGUGGCGAACGGGUGAGUAACACGUGGGUGAUCUGCCCCUUACUUUGGGAUAAGCCUGUGAGACUGUGUCUAAUACUGGGUAGGAGCAUGCUGUAGGUGGUGUGGUGGGGAGAUUAGUUUCGGUAAGGGAUGAGCUCGCGGCCUAUCAGCUUGUUGGUGGGGUAAUGGCCUACCAAGGCGUCGACGGGUAGCCGGCCUGAGAGGGUGGACGGCCACAUUGGGACUGAGAUACGGCCCAGACUCCUACGGGAGGCAGCAGUGGGGAAUAUUGCACAAUGGGCGCAAGCCUGAUGCAGCGACGCCGCGUGGGGGAUGACGGCCUUCGGGUUGUAAACUCCUUUCAGCCAUGACGAAGCCUUCGUGUGACAGUAGUGGUAGAAGAAGCACCGGCUAACUACGUG
rnacentral:rRNA from 1 species